ensembl:lncRNA
GUCUGUACCAUUUUAUGCAUCUAUCUGUAUGCUAUGUCUCUGUAUGGUUCGAUUUGUCUGUUUGUACGAUUCGAUGCGUCUGUUUGUACACUUCCAUGCGUCUGUCUGUAUGAUACGUCUGUACGAUUCAUUACUACUGUCUGCACGAUUCAUUACUACUGUCUGUUCGAUUAGUCUGUCUGUGCGAUUCGAUACGUCUGUCUGUGCGAUUCGAUACGUCUGUCUGUGCGAUUCGAUACGUCUGUCUCUACUGUAACGUAUGACUUCUGCUCAGGUGAUUUCUGCAGGUGUUUGUGGACAUACAGGCUGUGGACUUACAUCUUGUAUAUCUUUUCUGUUUUACAGUUUAAUGGAAGACUUAAAAAAUACAGAAGAAGAUCAGAGUAAUCCAGUUUCUCACCAGGACACCAAACAGAUACUUAAAGAUUCGAUCACCCCUGCCCCCUUCCACUGCGUGACACUGCGCGCCAGUUCCAC